CCUCAAAUCAGGCAGGACUACCCGCUGAACUUAAGCAUAUCAAUAAGCGGAGGAAAAGAAACUAACAAGGAUUCCCCUAGUAACUGCGAGUGAAGCGGGAAGAGCUCAAAUUUAAAAUCUGGUGGCCCCUGGCUGUCCGAGUUGUAAGCUAGAGAAGCGCCGUCCGUGCUGGGGCCAUGUACAAGUCUCCUGGAACGGAGCGUCAUAGAGGGUGAGAAUCCCGUCUCUGACAUGGACCUCCCAGGGCAUAGCGAUUGCGUUCUCAAAGAGUCGAGUUGUUUGGGAAUGCAGCUCCAAAUGGGUGGUAAACUCCAUCUAAAGCUAAACAUAGGCGAGAGACCGAUAGCGAACAAGUACCGUGAGGGAAAGAUGAAAAGAACUUUGGAAAGAGAGUUAAACAGUACGUGAAAUUGUUGAAAGGGAAACGCUUGAAGUCAGUCAUGUCGGCUUGGGAUCAGCCUUGCAACUGCAAGGUGCACUCCCUGGUCGGCGGGUCAGCACCAGUUUUCGACCGUUGGAGAAAGGUCGGGGGAAUGUGGCAUCCUCGGAUGUGUUUAUAGCCCUCGAUUGCAUGCAUCGGUCGGGAUUGAGGAACUCAGCGCGCCGCAAGGCCGGGUUUUCAAACCACGUCCGCGCUCAGGAUGCUGGCA
rnacentral:rRNA from 1 species